rfam:Methylobacterium extorquens AM1, complete genome.
CCGGGCUCUUAACGCGGCGUUAACCUUUCCGUUCUACAAAGAGGCACAUCCAGAUUGUCUGGAUCCUGAUUGGGAUCUCUUUCCAGUCUGCUUGAUGCCUCCCUGUAAGACUCACGAAAGCCGCUCCUCCUGGGGCGGCUUCUUUUUU